AUUGAACGCUGGCGGCAGGCCUAACACAUGCAAGUCGAGCGGAUGAAGGGAGCUUUCUCCUGGAUUCAGCGGCGGACGGGUGAGUAAUGCCUAGGAAUCUGCCUGGUAUUGGGGGAUAACGUCCGGAAACGGGCGCUAAUACCGCAUACGUCCUGAGGGAGAAAGUGGGGGAUCUUCGGACCUCACGCUAUCAGAUGAGCCUAGGUCGGAUUAGCUAGUUGGUUGGGUAAAGGCCUACCAAGGCGACGAUCCGUAACUGGUCUGAGAGGAUGAUCAGUCACACUGGAACUGAGACACGGUCCAGACUCCUACGGGAGGCAGCAGUGGGGAAUAUUGGACAAUGGGCGAAAGCCUGAUCCAGCAAUGCCGCGUGUGUGAAGAAGGUCUUCGGAUUGUAAAGCACUUUAAGUUGGGAGGAAGGGCAGUAAGUUAAUACCUUGCUGUUUUGACGUUACCAACAGAAUAAGCACCGGCUAACUUCGUG
rnacentral:rRNA from 1 species